AACGCACCUUGCGCCUUUUGGUAUUCCGAAAGGCAUGCCUGUUUGAGUGUCAUUAAAUCAUCAACCUCGUCUUGUGCGAGGCUUGGAGCUGAGGGUUUGCUGGUGCUUCGUGCAUCGGCUCCCUUCAAAUGCAUGAGCGGGACCGUGCGGAUCGGCUUUGGUUUGAUAAGACCGUCUAUGCCAUCGCCGAGGAGCCUUUGGUCCUGCUUCUAGCCGUCCCUCUGGGGACUGUCUCUGUCGAGGCAUGACUUUGACCUUGACCUCAAAUCAGGUAGGACUACCCGCUGAACUUAA
rnacentral:misc_RNA from 1 species